rnacentral:rRNA from 1 species
GAUCUUGGCUCAGAUUGAACGCUGGCGGAAUGCUUUACACAUGCAAGUCGAACGGUAGAGGGGGCAACCCUUGAGAGUGGCGAACGGGUGAGUAAUAUAUCGGAACGUGCCCAGUCGUGGGGGAUAACGUAGCGAAAGUUACGCUAAUACCGCAUACGAUCUAAGGGUGAAAGCGGGGGAUCGCAAGACCUCGCGCUAUUGGAGCGGCCGAUAUCAGAUUAGCUUGUUGGUGGGGUAAAAGCCCACCAAGGCGACGAUCUGUAGCUGGUCUGAGAGGACGACCAGCCACACUGGGACUGAGACACGGCCCAGACUCCUACGGGAGGCAGCAGUGGGGAAUUUUGGACAAUGGGCGCAAGCCUGAUCCAGCCAUGCCGCGUGUGGGAAGAAGGCCUUCGGGUUGUAAACCACUUUUGUCAGGGAAGAAACGGUCUGAUCUAAUACAUUGGGCUAAUGACGGUACCUGAAGAAUAAGCACCGGCUAACUACGUG